CCUACGGGAGGCAGCAGUGGGGAAUAUUGCACAAUGGGGGAAACCCUGAUGCAGCGACGCCGCGUGAGUGAAGAAGUAUUUCUGUAUUUAAAACUCUAUCAGCAGGGAAGAAAAUGACGGUACCUGACUAAGAAGCCCCGGCUAACUACGUGCCAGCAGCCUCGGUAAUACGUAGGGGGCAACCGUUAUCCGGAUUUACUGGGGGUAAAGGGAGCGUAGACGGUUAUGCAAGUCUGAAGUGAAACCCGAGGGCUCAACCAUGGAACUGCCGUGGAAACUGUCAAACUGGAGUGUGGGAGAGGUAAGCGGAAUGCCCGGUGUAGCGGUGAAAUGCGUAGAUAUCAGGAGGAACACCAGUGGCGAAGGCGGCGUACUGG
rnacentral:rRNA from 1 species